GCGGACUUCGUAUUAUAACGGUAAGAUGCCCGGCUGACCGGGGGAUGCGGGUUCGAAUCCUGCAGUCCGCUCCA
rnacentral:tRNA from 1 species